rnacentral:sRNA from 1 species
GAUCAUGGGUUCAAAUAAAUAAGACAAUUUUUAAAGUAUUCAUGAUCGGUACCAAUGAAUAGGACGAGCUUCUCUAUCCCAGAUUUCUACUAUAUAUGAAAUUUCUGGUUUCCUUUGGUACAAAUCCAAUCAUCUAGAUUGGAAAUAAGAAGCCAUUCCCCCAUUGGUAGCAAACGGCUAUUCAUUAAGCGGAGAAAAUAGUAAUAAAAAGAUAAAGGCUUAUUUUCCUUUAUCUUAAAAAAACUGACUAAUAGGGUCAGCUACUUAGCCAAUUAACUUUUAUAAUUAAAUACUGUCACUGUAUGGAUAACUCUUAUUGUGAAAAGAACUAUUUACUCUAUAAUAGAUAGGUAGAUCCAAAGAAUGUGAACU